rnacentral:lncRNA from 1 species
AUGUCUAAGGUAUUUUUAACUGUGUUUUGUGGUCUGUUUCUUUAUUUCUCUCUCAGAAACAUGGCCCAGGAAGCAGUUGUGUCGUGGAAAAAGUUCUGUAUCAUCUUGGCGGGAAAAACCUACGGGGCUCAUCAAGCCUUUGUUGCAAAGCUUAAAAGCAUCGGCCAAAUUAAGGUGAACUCUGUAGAAAAAAGUGACUACCUUCUGGUUUUCUGUCCCAUCACGACACGAGUUGGAACGGACAUCAGCGAGGCCAUGGAGAAACUUCCAGGUGGUAAACCAGCAAUUCUGGUGGUGAUGCAUCACACCUUCGAUCCUGACCAAGUUGUAUCUAAAAGCAGAAGACAAGUGGAAAAAUAUCCAAACGUCUACUUCACUGUGGACUGUCUGUUCCAUAAGGGCAAACUCCUGAAGUGUAAAUGCAAUGAUAAUGCAUGGUCUGAUGUCCAGAUGUGUCUUCCAAGAGGUCCCACGGUCUCUCAAGUCUUCAAGAAUUACACCAACAAUAAUUUGUGUUUCCUUCAGUGGCUGGCUGUCUUUUUAGUUAUUCUUUUAAUCCUAUUGCUGAUAUUGACGAUGAACUUUGACCAAAUAUUUGGUGUUGGAAGGAAAGUGAACAAUGAUUCGACUUGAAAGGACAAAGUAAAUGUUGUAUGUAAUGAAUGUGUAAUGAUCUGCAAAAAUCUAAUAUGUUAUUUUUUGUUGUCACUGACAUAUAGUUGUGAGGGCUGAUAUAUAUAUAUUUUUUGGCUGAAGCUUUUGAUCACUUCUGUAUCUGAAGCAAAAUAUGAUGAAUAACAGCUGCGGUUGGCGGGUUACCUGUGGUUUGGUUGUGUGGGUAUGGUGUUGGUUGCUUGUGGUGUAGGCUGAAGGGGGUGAUUUGCAAACCGCAAGGUAGCAUUGAGUCAAAUAGUCAAUAGUCAAAAUAAAAUAUAGGAACACUGCAGAUAGUAACAUUAUUCUUAAUAUGAUUAAAAUAUAUUUUCCAGUGUUGAAUUUUCAUUUCACGUUUGACCGAUGCCCAGGAUGAUGCUCGCUCGAUGAUGCAGUUCACUUAACGGCCACAGGCAUUAUUAUUAACAACGGCUUUCAAUAAUCCUUAAAUUAAUCUUAUUUAUAGGAAAUGUAUGUUGAUAUGUUGCAAUCAAGUCAUUUAAUGAGUAUGUAACACCGGGGGAACAAAAGUAACUUCACAACACCAGUAAUUGUGCUUUAGAAGUUUUGUACAUGUUUAAAUGUGUGUGAAACAAAUCUAAUAAAAAAUCAACAAAAUGAAUCAAAGUGUGUC